rnacentral:siRNA from 1 species
UGACGACAGAGGUGUCGUUGG